CCUACGGGUGGCAGCAGUGAGGAAUAUUGGUCAAUGGACGAGAGUCUGAACCAGCCAAGUAGCGUGAAGGAUGACCGCCCUAUGGGUUGUAAACUUCUUUUAUAUGGGAAUAAAAUGUUCCACGUGUGGGAUUUUGUAUGUACCAUAUGAAUAAGGAUCGGCUAACUCCGUGCCAGCAGCCGCGGUAAUACGGAGGAUCCGAGCGUUAUCCGGAUUUAUUGGGUUUAAAGGGAGCGUAGGUGGAUUGUUAAGUCAGUUGUGAAAGUUUGCGGCUCAACCGUAAAAUUGCAGUUGAAACUGGCAGUCUUGAGUACAGUAGAGGUGGGCGGAAUUCGUGGUGUAGCGGUGAAAUGCUUAGAUAUCACGAAGAACUCCGAUUGCGAAGGCAGUUCACUGGACUGCAACUGACACUGAGGCUCGAAAGUGUGGGUAUCAAACAGGAUUAGAUACCCGAGUAGUC
rnacentral:rRNA from 1 species